rnacentral:ncRNA from 1 species
UUAUUUCGUGGCCCCCAAUUAAUUUAUGUUUAUAUAUUAAUAUAUUAAAAAAAUAGUUUUAUAUUAGCUAAUAAAUUAUAAUUAAUUUUUAAUUAUAUGUAUAAUUUUUUUAAGAAUUAUUUGCAGUAAAAAGUUUUAUAAAAUUUAAGAAAUUAAGAGUUAGUAAAAAUUUAUUAGUAUAAACAAAAUUUGUGCCAGCAGUUGCGGUUAUUCAGAUUAUACAAUAUAAUUAUUUAAAAUUUAGGUAAUUAUUUAAUAAAAUUAUUUUAUAGAAAUUAUUAAGUGGAAUUUUAAUUUUUAAAAAUAAUUUAAUUUUAUAAAUGAGUUAAAAAAUUUAUUAUUUAAACUAGGAUUAGAUACCCUAUUAUAUUAAAUGUAGUUUUAAUUUUGAAUUAGUAACAGUUAUGAACUUGAAAAUUAAAAAAUUUGGCAGUAUUUUAAUCUUUUCAGAGGAACCUGUUUUAUAAAUGAUAUUCCACGAUUUAAUUUACUUUUAUUAUUAAUUUAUAUAUCGUCGUUAAAAAUAUUUUAAAAGAAGUUUAAUAUUUAAAAUUUUUAAUUAUAUAAUAAGUCAGAUCAAGGUGUAAUUUAUAUAAAAGUUAAAAUGGGUUACAUUAAAGUAAUUUGAGGAAAAUUUAAUUUAUUAUUAAAUUAGAAUAUGGAUUUGAAAGUAAUUUUUUUUAAUUAAAAAGAAUGAUGUAGCUCUAAAAUAUGUACAUAUUGCCCGUCGCUUUCACAUUAAAGUGAAAUAAGUCGUAACAAAGUAGAUUUACUGGAAAGUGAAUCUAGAAUCAA